rnacentral:misc_RNA from 1 species
CGCACCUUGCGCUCCUUGGUAUUCCGAGGAGCAUGCCUGUUUGAGUGUCAUGAAAUCAUCAACCAUCGCCUUGGUUUCGACCUUGGUGCUUGGCUUGGACCUGGGUGCUUUGCCGUCUGCUUCCGUGGAGCGGCUCACCUUAAAAGGAUCAGUGGAUCUUGUCUGUUUGUGACAUGGUUUGACUUGGCGUGAUAAGUAUUUCGCUGAGGACAUCCCUCUGGGAUGGCCAAGUUGCUCGACCUCAUAUCUGCUCUCUAACGAACCUUUCCCUUUGAGGGAAGUCUCAUUCUUGACAUCUGGCCUCAAAUCAGGUAGGACUACCCGCUGAACUUAA